AACGGGUGAGUAACACGUGAGCAACCUGCCCCAGGCUUUGGGAUAACCCCGGGAAACCGGGGCUAAUACCGGAUAUGACCUUGCACCGCAUGGUGUUUGGUGGAAAGUUUUUCGGCUUGGGAUGGGCUCGCGGCCUAUCAGCUUGUUGGUGGGGUGAUGGCCUACCAAGGCGACGACGGGUAGCCGGCCUGAGAGGGCGACCGGCCACACUGGGACUGAGACACGGCCCAGACUCCUACGGGAGGCAGCAGUGGGGAAUAUUGCACAAUGGGCGGAAGCCUGAUGCAGCGACGCCGCGUGAGGGAUGACGGCCUUCGGGUUGUAAACCUCUUUCAGCAGGGACGAAGCGUAAGUGACGGUACCUGCAGAAGAAGCGCCGGCCAACUACGUGCCAGCAGCCGCGGUAAGACGUAGGGCGCGAGCGUUGUCCGGAUUUAUUGGGCGUAAAGAGCUCGUAGGCGGCUUGUCGCGUCGACCGUGAAAACCUGGGGCUCAACCCCAGGCCUGCGGUCGAUACGGGCAGGCUAGAGUUCGGUAGGGGAGACUGGAAUUCCUGGUGUAGCGGUGAAAUGCGCAGAUAUCAGGAGGAACACCGGUGGCGAAGGCGGGUCUCUGGGCCGAUACUGACGCUGAGGAGCGAA
rnacentral:rRNA from 1 species